GGGGGUGUAGCUCAAUUGGUUAGAGCGUCGGCCUGUCACGCCGAAGGUUGCGGGUUCAAGUCCCGUCACCCUCGCCA
rnacentral:tRNA from 1 species